UACGAAGGGGGCUAGCGUUGCUCGGAAUCACUGGGCGUAAAGCGCACGUAGGCGGAUCGUUAAGUCAGGGGUGAAAUCCUGGAGCUCAACUCCAGAACUGCCUUUGAUACUGGCGACCUUGAGUUCGGGAGAGGUGAGUGGAACUGCGAGUGUAGAGGUGAAAUUCGUAGAUAUUCGCAAGAACACCAGUGGCGAAGGCGGCACACUGGCCCGAUACUGACGCUGAGGUGCGAAAGCGUGGGGAGCAAACAGG
rnacentral:rRNA from 1 species